UACGUAGGGAGCAAGCGUUGUCCGGAAUCAUUGGGCGUAAAGAGCGUGUAGGCGGCCCGGUAAGUCGGUUGUGAAAGUCAAGGGCUCAACCCUUGAAUGCCGGCCGAUACUGUCAGGCUAGAGUCCGGAAGAGGCGAGUGGAAUUCCUGGUGUAGCGGUGAAAUGCGCAGAUAUCAGGAGGAACACCUAUGGCGAAGGCAGCUCGCUGGGACGGUACUGACGCUGAGACGCGAAAGCGUGGGGAGCGAACAGG
rnacentral:rRNA from 1 species